GAGCAAGCACUUAUGGUAUCAGAGGGAGUUAAAGCAGAAAAGACCUCAGAGAUCAGCUAAUACAGUUCCGUACUUUUCCUGAUGAAGAUUCAUAAACAAAGAGCAGGAGGAAGAGUCAAAGAAGAUAGAGAGACAAGAGAAGAA